GUCUAUGUCUGGGGACCGGAUCAAUGUGGGCAGGCGGCGACUCGAGCGGCGUUGGGACGGCGGCGGCGACUGGAGCUUGCAGGGGCUGGAUCCGUGCGCGGCAGGGACUGGGGAGGCGGAUACAGAGGCGGAGGUCGCCGGAGCGCGGAUUCCCGGGCGGAUCCAUGGCAUCUACGGUCCUAGGCAGAAAGGAGACGGGGAGGUGAGGAAGAGAAGAAGGAAGAAAGGAGGGGCGGUGCUGCGACCUAGGCAGGAGCUCACCGGAGUCAGGCGGAAGCGGGAGACGGAGGGAUCCGACGUGGUGGCGCGAAGUCCUUGCAGGUGGAGGCGGUCCUUCAUGGCUGGCAGGGAGAUCUCCAAGGCCAUGGCGGGUGUUGAGCAACGUAGGAGAGGUGCCCUCCGUGGGGAUGGGGAAAGAUUGUCUACAGCAAGAGCGGGCAAUGGAGGUGGAAGUAUGGAGAAGGAUGGGACGAUGUUCUUGCACUACUGCGAUGGAGGGAAGGCGAAUUGAGUGAUACCAAAAGGAUUGUACAGUCAGACUGAAUGACAUUACGACUGAAUUACCUUGCAUCAGGUAAUCUUGUGUUAUAUUGGCAUCAGUGUCUUGGGCAGCCGAGCUCUUCCUAGGAGUAGUCACUUCAUGUCCAUCUAGGGCAUCCAAUCAUCCAUCUUGCUGGUCCAGAAUUUGUAUAAGACUGAACUAUGUAAGGUUCCAUUGUCUUGCAAUGGAGCCGAGGAGAGCCUCCCUUGUUUUCUAAAAGAAAAAGAAUUAAGUAUCAUUUCCUCGUCUCAGGUAAGCAAGAGAAUAUCGGCGCACAUAUUCUAAGACUGUCUCCAAUAUUGUUCGAUUUGGAGCUCUUAGGUGAAAGUUCACCAAAAUGAAUCACAAUGCAAAUGGUCCAAUCCCUUUUUAUUUUCGUGGAGCCGUUGUACAUUGAUUUUUGCCUCAACUGCUCCAUAACAAUCAUAUCGCUUGCUGGUGUAGCCAUCUAUCUCAGAGCAGCAGUUGGCAAACCAAAUCCAAGGUGCAAUCUUUUUCCGGUAACUAAUAUAGUGGCAUAUACCAUAUAGUAUUGUCUUAAAAACAUGCAUAAUUGGUCAUACCUAUCAUACCAAUCUUAGAACAUGUUUUGAAUUCAGGUAAACUUAGGAACAUGUAUCUUGGUAGUUCGAACUUGAACUCUAUUUGGUCCUAAUAAGGCGAUAUGGUUACAUAGCUGGUUGACAUAUGCACAAUCAUUUUUUAAAGAAACAGAAAUAAAUAGAUUCAACAUUGAAUUAGUAGAACAUGAUGGUGUGUCCUGUUCCAUCCGUCCCUGGCUCGUUAACAUCGAAGGUGCCGUCUGCUGUGGUCAUCAGAGGCGUAGCUGCCCGUACUCAUCACAAGUUGUUGGCACUGGAUUUAUUAUGUAAACUCAAUGAUUUUGCUUGCUAGAUUUUUUUCAAUUUUUGACCCACAUGAGGAGUAUUGCGAGGGCCUGGACAAACUUGAUUAAAUUAGUUUCUAUUUUGGUAUAGGUGGGACCAUCACUUUGGGAUGUUUUUCCAAUCUGUCAUGUGCAAUUGUGCAUGAUGAUCCUAAUUGUAUAUGUUGGACAUAUUAGUGUUGAGUAUAUGUUGAACGCAUGAUUGUUAAACCACUAUAAUAUGUAUAGCCCGUUGCAACGCACGGGCUGGAGGAGAAGAGGUAGGGAAAAGAAGGACGUGGGAAGAAGGAAGGGUGCGGCAGGGGCGCGGCGGUGCGAGAGCGCUGGUCUUGUGCGCAUGGAGCACCUCUCCUUGGGCGGUUGCGCUGGUUGGUUCGGCACGCAAACGCCCACCUUGCCCACGUCCGACAACUCAUCGCCGGCGCGGAAGACAUGGACUCCUACCACAGGGAGCUCGCAUGCCCUGCAACUGCUGGAACUGGCUGAAGGUCAUCCCGCAUCUUCGACUUCAUCCUUUCCUGCGCCCUCCUCCAUCCACGACCUCUGGUACACUACUUCUCCUCCCUCCCCUCUCCUUCCAAUUCCACCACGUAAUUUCUCUGUUCGCGGUCUCGGCAAUCCUGAAUUUGGCUUGCUUCCCCUUCCUAGCCAAUACUCCCUCGGUUCUUAAAUAUAAGUCUUUUUAGAUAUUCUAAUUUGAACUAUAAAAUGAGUGAAUCUACACU